UGUGUCUGGAGGCCCAGCUCAAGGACUAUCAAUGCUACUGAAAACAGUAGCUCACUUCCAUCCUGCUUUACUCUUACAAGCUGACAAGAUUUCAACUCAAGGGAGGAGACUCACGGCGCUGUCACAAAGUACAUGUGGAGAAGAACUGCAAGGUAUUUGUCUCUCCAACUAGAUACGAAGUCUUGGCAGAGCUUGGAUUCGACUCCAUGUGAUUAUGAACCUCCACAGAGCCUACUGCACAGUAAAUCUGGAGAAAUCAGCUUGCCCGGCCAAUUGGAUGCUCCCCUCGAAUCUUGCUGCAG